UCUGUGAAGAUAAAAAAAAAGAAAAGAAAAAAAAAUUUAUAUGUAGUAAAAUAGAGAAAUUAGGCCAUCUUUCCUCAUUAAUAUCAACAAGGAAGCGGCGUGUUGCUCCGUCGGGUUGGAUGUCGGAUUUUAAACGAGAAAAAAAAAAAAAAAAAAACCUUUUUUUCCCCCUUUAUUUUAUUUUUAGGUCAUGUCUCUUUGAAAGAUGAAAUUCCAGUCGACAUGGGGGAUAAUCAUCAAGAGGCUGACUUUACGUGUGUGUUAUCAACCUAAAAACAGGUGUCUGUCUCACCACACCGGUUUGCAGAAAUGCGCAACCUGAACCUUCAACUGAAGCAGCGAUGCCGAAAAAUGUAGUGGGUUCAAUGUCAGGACAUACAAUACGAUACACGAUAAGCUUCAGAAUGACAAGAAUAAGGAGGUUAGUCCAUAGACCCCUUGCUUAGCAUAUCUAACGAGUGGAUGUGAAAACCGCACUAGUAGUCUAUUAAUUCCCUGGAGAAUAAGGAGGAAACGAGGUGUGUACCUGGGAAGACGUCUUUAGUUUCGGCGAAAGCCGGAUGAAUCCAGCCGUUGCGUGGCUGGAUAAUGCACUGAAACAUGCUGGGGGAUUAUCGGCUACGCUGAACAAAUGAGGACGAGAACAAAACGACAAAAUCCGGUGAACAUUCGGUGGUGAAAGAACAACCGGUCGCUGCUAACAGACAGGCACAACUGUCUGGAUGAAUGAGAGAACAUAUGGAACUAGUUCCCAUCCGCCAUCAUCCUCGGCAUUCCGCCAACGACGGAUAGGGGGAGAAAAUCUACACCCACAUCUGGCGAGUACAAGGGGGAGAAUGUUACAACCCCUCUGGUUCUUCUUAUUCGUUUUUUUUUGUCUUCUUCCGAAAAAAAAAAAUGGCAAACUGUCUAGCCAAAGGGAGAAUAUAUUUGACUACAUAAAGACCCCCCCCCCUUUCGUCUACAACACCCAGCGUCUUCGGCAUGAGAUCGUGGCGCAAGACGUUAGAUAAAGGCAUCACUUAAAAAAUCCAAGAAAUAUAGCCCACAGUUCUUGGGACAAAUCUUUCGAGCACUUCCAAAAGUGGGCAGGUCUCGUUUAUCAACGUCCACGUGACCCUCGGUUAAGAGGACCAGUCAACAAUUUCAUGGAAAAUGGCAUCUGGUCCUCUGCGCAGCUGCCAUUUAACACCAAUGUCCAGCAACAAAAGAUUGUCAAAUCAAGCAAAAAGACAAGACAAAAAAAAAAUCCCACCAAAAUAAAUAAAUUAUUAUUUACAGUAUUUAAUGAGGGCACACAAAAAAUGGGACAAUUUUCCAUUUCCCUUUCCGGUUUUGACCAGAAUGCGUUGUCGUGAGAGCAUCAUCAUCACGACGAUCCAAACAGUCGGAUUUUCAAUGAUUCCUGGCGUCGUUACACGGUAACGGAUAAUCUGUUUUUAUUUUGCUAUUGUGACGACGAAAACAUGUGAUAACGACCAUCACCUUGAGAGUGUCUUGCAGACCGUGAUAAGGAAGGGGAAGAAAAAAAAAACAGCAACCAAAUGCUUCCGGUGGCUUCCGACCGCAGAAGGCCCUUCUACCUUAUUGCGUCUUCUAGCAUACUUCUGAGUUCGACUCAUUUCCUAUACGUACGAGUUUCGCAGUUCCACCGUUUUUAGGACAGAGCCUUUGUAGGGGGGUGGCCGGGAUGAUUGAAAAUUUGUUUUAAAAAAUGGGAACACAUUCGACAAUUUGCAAAAAUACACCGAAUACAAAUGUC